rnacentral:rRNA from 1 species
UACGUAGGGGGCGAGCGUUGUCCGGAGUUACUGGGCGUAAAGGGCACGUAGGCGGUCGUGACAAGUCACUUGUGAAAUCUCCGGGCUUAACUCGGAACGGUCAAGUGAUACUGUCGGACUAGAGUACAGAAGGGGCAACUGGAAUUCUCGGUGUAGCGGUGAAAUGCGUAGAUAUCGAGAGGAACACCUGCGGCGAAGGCGGGUUGCUGGGCUGAUACUGACGCUGAUGCGCGAAAGCCAGGGGAGCGAACGGG